GGAAUUACAGCCUUUUAAUUUACAACUUGGGUUCUUGAAGAGAAGUCCUCUGACCAGCAGCCUGAUCACCUGGAAAUUUGUUAGAAAUGUAGGUUCCUGGGCCUCCCGAGACUGACUGCUCAGAAGUUCUGGAGAUGUCACUGCCACUCUCCCCAGCUCCAUCUUCAUCCCGCCGAGUCCCAUCUUCCUUCUCACCAGCCUGGUAUUUUUGAACGUACAUUUGAAUUGCAACAGUCGGCAUCAAGAUGGUGGGAAAUAGCAGUUGAGAUUUCUCAACUAGAAGAUUGAAAAGUCUAAGGCUGGACAAACAAUCAAACAAUGAGAGACAUGGUGGCUCAUGCCUGUGAUUCCAGCACUUGGGAGGCCAAGGUUAAGCCUGAGUUUGGUCUUCUGUUACUUGGAACUGAAAUAAUGUGCAUUGACACACCUAACAAGUCAAAGUAUUGUCUUUUGCUGGUCUGCUCUGGUCCUGGAAACAUCCACUGAUAGAAUCACUGGUCUGGGACAAAUUGUGGUACCCAAAGACCUCAGGAAGCACUUAGAAGCAUUACUCCUGAAGUCCCAUUCGUCCCAAGAAGAGUUGCUGGCUGGAGGAGACAAUAUGUAAACAUGUCAUGACAAGAUGGUGUGCCAUCAAGUCUGAGAUAAUCUGUUAUGGCAACGUAAGAAGCUAAUACAAGAUGCAGGAGUGAAGCAGCGAGGUCUGGAAAAAAGCUAUUGCAAAAAUACAGUCUCAGCAAGGGGAUAGAAGGAGCCCUGCAUUCUCUCCUGACACGCUUGACAAAAACAAACCCAACUAGAGGUCGCCAGCAACGGAGGGGCAUCCUGUGUAAGGACUUGGAAGAGGAGUUGUAUUGUCACCCCCUGGCCACUAGAGGACUUCAUCCUAUUUCAGUGGAGGAAGGCCUGUUAGGGGCCUCUCUAUACUGGUGGAGGUUUGGUCGUCUUCCCUUCACUUGAUUUCUGCCAGUGGCCUUAUGUGAGGAUGCUUCAUGAGAUGUCAAGUAUCCGAGGAGUCUGUGACACAACCAUCCAGUGGUGAAUUGCUAAGGAGCUCCUCUCCAGCCUGCUUGACUCUGAGGUUAAAAGAGUCUUCAUGUUGAGCACAAGUCAUCUCUUUGCACUUUCACCAGUUGUGUCCAUCUGAAAAACACAGAGGUCUGUCUCACUUCUGCAUCACAGUCCCUUCCAAGAAGCUCCACAAUGGGUAAGGCACAAUAAAAUGGCUUAUAUUCAACAAACACAUAA
ensembl:lncRNA novel transcript